GUGCUCGCUUCAGCAGCACAUACACUAAAACCAGAAAGAUACGCAGAAGAUUAACAUGGCCCCUGCACAAGGAUGACAUGGAAAUUUGUGAAGCAUUCCAUAUGAAA